rnacentral:rRNA from 1 species
UACGUAAGGGGGCUAGCGUUGCUCGGAAUCACUGGGCGUAAAGCGCACGUAGGCGGAUUGCUAAGUCAGGGGUGAAAUCCUGGAGCUCAACUCCAGAACUGCCUUUGAUACUGGCGAUCUCGAGUCCGGGAGAGGUGAGUGGAACUGCGAGUGUAGAGGUGAAAUUCGUAGAUAUUCGCAAGAACACCAGUGGCGAAGGCGGCUCACUGGCCCGGUACUGACGCUGAGGUGCGAAAGCGUGGGGAGCAAACAGG